UACGAAGGGGGCUAGCGUUGCUCGGAAUCACUGGGCGUAAAGCGCACGUAGGCGGAUUGCUAAGUCAGGGGUGAAAUCCUGGAGCUCAACUCCAGAACUGCCUUUGAUACUGGCGACCUUGAGUCCGGGAGAGGUGAGUGGAACUGCGAGUGUAGAGGUGAAAUUCGUAGAUAUUCGGAAGAACACCAGUGGCGAAGGCGGCUCACUGGACCGGCAUUGACGCUGAGGUGCGAAAGCGUGGGGAGCAAACAGGG
rnacentral:rRNA from 1 species